AUGCGAUGGCGAGUGAAGUAUAGUCCAACCCGGUAUUGCCUUUCUUCAGUAUUGGCCUUGACCGGGGUAUGAUCACCUACCUAAUCAUCUCUCUGAGCUG